GCGAGAGGGAGGCUGGAGGAGGAAGGAGGGACGCGCAGGCUUUUGUGGCGCAGUCGCCUCUCCUGCAGCCCCAGCCGCCGCCCGCGGCCCCGCAGCCUGGCCAGGCCGAGGAGCGCGCACUCCCUCCCUCUCGCCUUUACUCCCAGCCACCUCGCACCCGCCCCAGCAGUUCCCCCACCUCUCCCCAGGAGCUCCCCCAGUGCCCCCACCGCCCUGGCCACCUUCUUCGUCUCCCGCACCCACUCAACACAGCCACUGCCCCGCCCCCCAGCUCGGCCCGCCAGGACUAGGCAGAGGCCGCCCGCAAUCGGGCCGGGCUACUCCACUUGGGGGACCAACGGCCUGGGUCCCUCUCUCCACCGCGAAGAGGCCGGCCCAGGUGACUGCGCGCAGGACCCCGGUGUCCAGCCCUGGAGCCGCUGGCUGAUGGGGAGCGAGAUGGUGACACCCGGGGCCGAGUCCUCCAUGGGUGGGGGGGCGAGGGGUGCGUGCGCGGCUCUCCCUCCACCAUCCUCGGUCUACUGUGCCGCCCGGUGCGAGGCUUCCUCGUGGCUUCGCAUCUGGUUGCCUGCCCCGCUCCGCCCAGCGUGUCCCCGUGGGACCAGGAUCCGGGGCGCCUUCUCUGCGAACUGCCAGGAGGGCCCUGAGCACUCGGGGGAAUGACCGUCACCGGACAGACCGCCUCUGACACAUGAAGCCUCACUGUCACUCGGAAAGGGACGAGAAAGCCACAGGCUGGUGAUGCGGGCGCAGUCGGCGGCACAGGUAACUCAGUGGCCUCUGCAUUUGGAACUAGUGGCGUGGACACGCACGUUUCAAGGAGCCGGGGUUUCCUGCGAGGCUAAGCGCCGAGAAACGUCAGGAACGCGGCCUUGGGCCCGAGGACCGGUCCCCGGAAAGCGGCCGCUGCGCAGGCCGAGGGCUCCCCGGACGCGGUCGGUGCUGGGGCUCCCGGGCGCCGGGGAGGCGGAGCAGCGCGCGGGCGGCGAGGGGGCGCUGUGGCCCGCGGCUGCGGCCUUGUCCCUGCAGCGGUGGCCCGGUCGCUGUCCCUGGCCACCGACGGGCGGCAGGCGCCCCUGCCCCGGUGCGACCUACCUCUUCCCAGAUCGCUUUAAUUCGAGGAAGAAGGAAAAUUAUACUGGGGCAUUUCAAUAAAACCUGCGCCACACACCAUCUCUUUUUCAUUCUGUCAUUACCCUGGCCUUCGGUGGAGUUUCUAUGAGUUUGGUGGGAAAAUAGCUACCAUUUUGGAGUGUGCAAUUUUUUUUGUCAGUUAAGAUUAAAUAUACACGUAUUACCUGGGUUCCCCUUCACGACGGAGCCUUGACAAUGGAAGUCGUUUCUCUGUGUGGGAGCGUUUGCCUAUUGUCUUCCUAAUCCAGGGUGCCGCCCUUCUCGGGACUUCCUGGCGCGAUUGCGGAGGGACUGACAGCGAGAAAGAGAAAAAAGGGACCAGAAAUUCGG